rnacentral:tRNA from 1 species
GCCCAGGUGGUGGAAUGGUAUACACAGAGGACUUAAAAUCCUCCGAGAGUAAUCUCAUGCGGGUUCGACUCCCGCCUUGGGCACCA